rnacentral:rRNA from 1 species
GCGCGAAUAGGGGGGCACCCCCUUAGUAGAGCGGCGAACGGGUGAGUAACGCGUGGGUGAUCUGCCUCCGAGUGGGGAAUAACAUCGGGAAACUGGUGCUAAUACCGCAUGACAUCCUCGAGUCAUAUUGAGGAUCAAAGCCGGGGACCGCAAGGCCUGGCGCUUGGAGAGGAGCCCGCGUCCGAUUAGCUAGUUGGCGGGGUAACGGCCCACCAAGGCUUCGAUCGGUAGCCGGCCUGAGAGGGCGGACGGCCACACUGGGACUGAGACACGGCCCAGACUCCUACGGGAGGCAGCAGUGGGGAAUUUUUCGCAAUGGGCGCAAGCCUGACGAAGCAACGCCGCGUGGGGGAUGAAGGUCUUCGGAUUGUAAACCCCUGUCGACCGGGACGAAAGCACCCGACCUAAUACGUCGGCGUGUCGACUGUACCGGUGGAGGAAGCCACGGCUAACUCUGUGCCAGCAGCCGCGGUAAUACAGAGGUGGCAAGCGUUGUUCGGAAUUACUGGGCGUAAAGGGCGCGUAAGCGGUUUCGUAAGUCCCGCCUGAAAACCGCCGGCUCAACUGGGGA